AAGGAAUAUUGGACAAUGGACGCAAGUCUGAUCCAGCCAUGCCGCGUGAAGGAUUAAGGUCCUCUGGAUUGUAAACUUCUUUUAUAAGGGACGAAAAAAGGUCUUUCUAGAUCAUCUGACGGUACCUUAUGAAUAAGCACCGGCUAACUCCGUGCCAGCAGCCGCGGUAAUACGGAGGGUGCAAGCGUUAUCCGGAUUCACUGGGUUUAAAGGGUGCGUAGGCGGGCAGGUAAGUCAGUGGUGAAAUCCUAGAGCUCGACUCUAGAACUGCCAUUGAUACUAUCGGUCUUGAAUAUUGUGGAGGUAAGCGGAAUAUGUCAUGUAGCGGUGAAAUGCUUAGAUAUGACAUAGAACACCUAUUGCGAAGGCAGCUUACUACGCAUAGAGUGACGCUGAGGCACGAAAGCGUGGGGAUCAAAC
rnacentral:rRNA from 1 species